AUGCACCUUUGUUAAGGUGCAUUCAAAGUUCACUCAGAAUUAUAGUAGAUAAGUUAGCUUGUAAAAUAAUGGACAGAAACCCCGUGUCAUGUCUCAGUUUCUCGUAUAGAUGUAAUGUUACAACGCUCUAAUGUGGAAAAAAUACUGUGCUGGCUUAAGGCAAUAAGUUAAGGUAAUUUUGGAAAUGUGCGACUUUAUCUGUAUAUUUACCUAACAUUACAACAAAAUUGUCUUUCAUGAGAUUUAAACUCUGAAGAGGCUGCAGUUUCAGGACCGUGAUUCUAGGACCCCAGCAUCACCUACCAAAUUUCACAACAAUGGACCGCAUUGUUACAUGGACAGUGUAUGCAUAUAACAAUCCAAGAACAAGAGAUCUUUGCCAGAAUUGAUAAGAUGCACUACAUGCUACAAGGACUUCCACUGCCCGUCCUGUAGCUCAACUAGCCAUUUCAACUGAGCAGUUCUUCAAGAAGGUUACACUGAGAGGAAUUUCAUGAAGGAACACUUCCCUGCUGGGCUGAUACCAAUGGAGUUUUGCAAGACAGGUAAAACUUAUUUAUUCUACAUAGGAUAGUCCUCAGUAAUGUGUGUUUCAUCAUAAAAUGAUGAAAAUCAAUGACACUUUUGCACUUAAGUGUUAAAUGUUAAAUCUUUA